AUGCCGACGCCUCCUGCCGCCGGCCGGAGCCUCGUCCUCCACUGUUGCUGCUGCCUGAUCUUGCUUGUCCUCCUCCCCGCCUGCCACGCCUUCCCGCUCUGCACCGACCACAGGGCGCCGCUGCCGCUCAACGGGACGCUCGCCUUCUGCGGCAACGCCGGCGCCGGGGCCAGCUGCUGCGACGCCGCCGCCGACAAGGCCCUGCGGGACCAGCUCCAAGCCGCCAACGUCUCCGACGCCGCCUGCGCCGCCGUCCUCAAGUCCCUCCUCUGCGCGAAAUGCAAUCCCUAUUCGGCUGAGCUGUUCGACGCCGGGCCGAAGCUCCGAACAAUCCCUUUCCUGUGCAACUCCGCCUCCUCGGCGACCUCUGCUCAUCAGUCCAAGCAAUCAACAGUACAGGACUACUGCAAGCUUGUCUGGGACACCUGCAAGGACGCAACGAUGCGCAAUUCUCCCUUCCAGCCUCCCCUGCAAGGAGGUGGGAGGCUGCCUAGCUCAUCGUCGAAGCUCACCGAUGCCUGGCAGUCCGAGAGCGACUUCUGCACGUCGUUCGGUGGCGCGCCCAGCAACCGAUCCGUGUGCUUCAGCGGGAGCACGGUGUCGUUUAACGCUACCCAGCCUUCGGCGUCUCCUAAAGGGGUAUGCCUAGAGAGGAUUAACAACGGGUCCUACGCCUACCUCAACAUGGUUCCUCACCCUGAUGGGUCCAACAGGGUCUUCCUGGGCACCCAAGCCGGGAAGAUAGUGCUGGCAACCGUCCCGGAUCAGGGGUCCGGCGGCACGCUGCAGUUCAGCGAGGCGGGCCUGUUUGUCGACCUGACUGACCAGGUGCAUUUCGACUCGACGUUCGGGCUCAUGGGCAUGGCGUUUCACCCCGACUUCGCGACCAACGGGCGCUUCUUCGCAUCCUACAACUGUGACAGGACAAAGUCACCCAGCUGUUCUGGUAGGUGUUCAUGCAAUUCUGAUGUUGGCUGUGACCCCUCCAAGCUUGGCACCGAUAACGGCGCCCAACCAUGCCAGUAUCAGGUCGUUGUGUCAGAAUAUUCUGCUAAAGGCUCAUCGUCAAAUGUUUCUGAGGUUACAUCUGCCGAUCCAACUGAAGUCAAAAGGAUUUUUACUAUGGGGUUGCCUUAUACAAAUAACCAUGGAGGUCAGAUUCUUUUUGGACCUACGGAUGGAUACCUCUAUCUCAUGAUGGGUGACGGUGGACAGAAAGGAGACCCUUUUAAUUUUGCGCAGAACAAAAAGUCGCUUCUGGGGAAAAUUAUGAGGCUUGACAUCGACAGUACACCGGGACUCGGUAAAGUCACUAACCAGAGCUUAUGGGGUAACUAUUCCAUUCCAAAAGACAACCCGUUCUCCGAGGAUAGUGGCUUGGCACCAGAAAUUUGGGCAUUGGGUGUUAGAAACCCUUGGAGAUGCAGCUUUGAUCUUGACAGGCCUUCCUACUUCUACUGUGCAGAUACUGGUCAGGACCAAUACGAAGAGGUUGAUUUGAUCUCCAAGGCCGGAAACUAUGGAUGGCGUAUAUAUGAGGGUCCAUUGGUGUACAAUCCACCGUGGACGCCUGGAGGAAACACAUCACUCAAGUCCGUAAAUGUCAUUCCUCCUAUUAUGGGAUACAGCCAUUCUGAUGUCAAUAAAAACAUUGGAUCUGCGUCGAUCAUGGGUGGCUAUGUCUACCGAGGAUCCACCGACCCCUGCCUGUAUGGAAGGUACCUGUAUGCUGACCUUUACGCAUCAGCCAUGUGGACUGGCACGGAGACCCCGGAGGGCAGUGGGAACUACACCUCCAGUCUGAUCUCCUUCAGCUGCUCCAAGAACUCUCCCAUCCCCUGUGACAGCGCCGCUGGGAGCCCUCUCCCAUCGCUCGGUUACAUAUAUUCCUUCGGCGAGGAUAACAACAAGGACAUCUAUGUCUUGGCAAGCAAAGGCGUCUACCGGGUUGUCCGGCCGAGCCUCUGCAGCUACACUUGCCCGACAGAGAAACCUGAGACGAACAAUGGGAAGGCACCUGCCGGUCCUUCAUCAAACGCGCCAGCAGCAAUGGGAAUGGGCAUGAAAACAGGAGCUCUAUUGCUGUCUGCCGCCACGUCCUUUGUUUUGAUGAGAUAG
rnacentral:rRNA from 1 species